rnacentral:rRNA from 1 species
UGGGGAAUAUUACACAAUGGGGGAAACCCUGAUGCAGCGACGCCGCGUGAGCGAAGAAGGUUUUCGAAUCGUAAAGCUCUGUCCUAUGAGAAGAUAAUGACGGUAUCAUAGGAGGAAGCCCCGGCUAAAUACGUGCCAGCAGCCGCGGUAAUACGUAUGGGGCGAGCGUUGUCCGGAAUUAUUGGGCGUAAAGGGUACGUAGGCGGUCUAUUAAGUCAGGUGUGAAAGCGUGAGGCUUAACCUCAUUAAGCACUUGAAACUGAUAGACUUGAGUGAAGGAGAGGAAAGUGGAAUUCCUAGUGUAGCGGUGAAAUGCGUAGAUAUUAGGAGGAAUACCGGUGUCGAAGGCGACUUUCUGGACUUUUACUGACGCUCAGGUACGAAAGCGUGGGGAGCAAACAGG